CAGCCGCCGCGGGAAUACGUAGGUGGCAAGCGUUGUCCGGAAUUAUUGGGCGUAAAGGGCUCGCAGGCGGUUUCUUAAGUCUGAUGUGAAAGCCCCCGGCUCAACCGGGGAGGGUCAUUGGAAACUGGGAACCUUGAGUGCAGAAGAGGAGAGUGGAAUUCCACGUGUAGCGGUGAAAUGCGUAGAGAUGUGGAGGAACACCAGUGGCGAAGGCGACUCUCUGGUCUGUAACUGACGCUGAGGAGCGAAAGCGUGGGGAGCGAACAGGAUUAGAUACCCCCGUAGUCCCUGUCUCUUAUAC
rnacentral:rRNA from 1 species